rnacentral:rRNA from 10 species
GUUGACCUCGGAUCAGGUAGGACUACCCGCUGAA